rnacentral:rRNA from 1 species
AGUUGAUCAUGGCUCAGAUUGAACGCUGGCGGAAUGCUUUACACAUGCAAGUCGAACGGUAGAGGGGCAACCCUUGAGAGUGGACGAACGGGUGAGUAAUAUAUCGGAACGUGCCCAGUCGGUGGGGGAUAACGUAGCGAAAGUUACGCUAAUACCGCAUACGAUCUAAGGAUGAAAGCGGGGGAUCGCAAGACCUCGCGCGAUUGGAGCGGCCGAUAUCAGAUUAGGUAGUUGGUGAGGUAAAGGCUCACCAAGCCAACGAUCUGUAGCUGGUCUGAGAGGACGACCAGCCACACUGGAACUGAGACACGGACCAGACUCCUACGGGAGGCAGCAGUGAGGAAUAUUGGUCAAUGGGCGCAAGCCUGAACCAGCCAUGCCGCGUGCAGGAAGACGGUCCUAUGGAUUGUAAACUGCUUUUAUACAGGAAGAAACCCUCCCACGUGUGGGAGCUUGACGGUACUGUAGGAAUAAGGAUCGGCUAACUCCGUG